rnacentral:rRNA from 1 species
UACGGGGGAUGCAAGCGUUAUCCGGAAUCAUUGGGCGUAAAGCGCCUGUAGGUUGUUUAAUAAGUCUGUUGUUAAAGACUAGGGCUCAACCCUAGAAAAGCAAUGGAAACUGUUAGACUAGAGUAUGGCAGGGGUAGAGGGAAUUUCUAGUGUAGCGGUGAAAUGCGUAGAUAUUAGAAAGAACACCGGUGGCGAAAGCGCUCUACUGGACCAUUACUGACACUCAGAGGCGAAAGCUAGGGUAGCAAAAGGGAUUAGAUACCCCUGUAGUCCUAGCCGUAAACGAUGGAUACUAGAUGUUGUAUGUUAUUUACAGUAUCGUAGCUAACGCGUUAAGUAUCCCGCCUGGGGAGUACGCUCGCAAGGGUG